CAAAAUUGAAUUGUCAAAAUCCGUCAAGUCGGUCUUGAGUUAUAAGCGUAGUAAUUAACAUAACUUUCUUUAGGUCCUUUGGCCAAUGGAUAGUACUCUUCAUAAGCUUACCAUUGAUGUGUAUAUUGGAUUGGAAGAAUUGUCCUGGAAGGUAUAUUGGACAAUGGAACUUUCCUGUUCAGAGGAUUUCUCCAGAAAUGGUCAAAUACCUCGGAAUCUGUCGGAUUGGCCCACAAUUUUUAUUAUGCCAAUGAAUAGUACUAUUCAAAGCUUUCCAUUGAUAUGCAUUUUGUAUUGGAAGAAUUGUUUUAAAACGUAGUUUAUCUAAUGCCAAUGUCCUGUCACAUAUUGUGCAACUACAAGUUGGUAGCUGGAGAAAGAUAUACGCCUGCCCUUGGCCACAACAACCGGUUAGGACUCGAUGGUGAUGCUGACUCGACAUCACCGACCACUCUUUGGAUAUCAGCACUUAGGCGUACCGGGGCUUAGCCUCAACCACGGACUUUUCUGGGCAGCUGCGCUUUUUUAUAUAAAAUUCUGCUGACCUCCUCCACAGAAAACUUGGAGGGGUCAGAUAUCUAGCCGUCUUUACGUUGGGUGUUGUCUUAAAAAGAAGAAAUACAAUAUCGAAACACCAAAAACACAUACACUAUUAGAACAACAGAAACUUACAAAAUUUUGGUCACACAUACGCAUACAAAACAAACAGACAAUAAAAUAAAAAUUUACGGAAACUUUCCUUCCAACUUUCUUUAUGUUUUAAUGGGUUCACUUUUUUAAUUUUCACCAAAACUUCAAUGGCGAA